CAUAUGUGUGUGUGUUCCGGGUUUUGUCUUCCCCCCCUGUUUCACACACACCUGCUCAUGUGAGCAUCUUCAUCACCUGUGCCUCGUUCACCCUAAUUACCCCUUGUAUAUAACCUCGUGUCUCAUUUCCUCUCGUUGCCAGUUCGUUGUACCUUGUCGUCGCGUUCCAGCAUUCCUUGUUUCCACGUCAUAGAUUCACAGUUUUUAAUGGGGGUUCAAGGCCCUGAGUUUUUUCCAAACUAAAUGCAUCUAACGAAGCCUUUAUGGAUAUUGCUUUGUGCACUGGGGCACAGCCAUGCUGGAAUAUAAAUGGGCUUUCACAAAACCCACAAAAUGGAGGCACAGAAGAGAAACUAAGGUAACCUGCCUAGACCUUGGCAGAGCAGUGACUUGACCUUUCCAAAAAAUUAUCACUUUGCUGACCACACACCUGAUCUCAUGAAAUCUUCCCUGGUGUUGUUGGCUGAUUGAAAUACUGCCAGACUGCGCUUUUAGACUUCGGUCCAUUCAUCUGCAACAAGGGUUUGAAAAAAAAGAAAGUGUUAAAGAGUGGACACCCUUGGACAACCACAACAAAGCACUUACUGUUGAGUGUGCAUUCUCGCUGCAUCUACAAACCUGUAAUCUGCU